rnacentral:rRNA from 1 species
GACAGAGGUGCCAAGCGUUAGGCGGAAUCACUGGGCUUAAAGCGUGUGUAGGCGGAUUGGUAAGUACCUUGUGAAAUCCCACGGCUUAACCGUGGAACUGCUUGGUAUACUGCUUAUCUUGGGCCACUUAGGGGCUACCGGAACAAACGGUGGAGCGGUGAAAUGCGUAGAUAUCGCUUGGAACGCCAAAGGUGAAAACAGACAGCUGGGAGUGUGCUGACGCUGAGACACGAAAGCCAGGGGAGCGAACGGG